AUGCCAGAGGCCCAAGUUUGUCUCUGCUAAUAACGACUUACUUUUUUAUCCUUUGCACUGUGGCAGCAGCAAGGGAUCCAUGCCUGGAGCUUCAUUUGCCGGAGGAAAAUAACUCUCAACUUCUUUCACUGAGCAGAAAGUUUACAAGCCAGGCAGAAAGAAAACAGACUGCAAAUGAGGGAAUAUGAAAGACAGAUGAGUUUAGGUCUGAGUUACCAGAUGCCAAAACAAAGAGUUCUCAGCUCCAAACUGUUUUUCUCACUCAAGACCACACUUUAUGGAAUGGCAUGCAGUUAACUGAUCAGAAAGUAACACACAAAUCUGAAGAAACCUUCCCACCUUCUCUCCACAAGGCUGACUGCUCAGCGUUGGGAUCCAUGAUCAGUGAGAUUGAGGGCACAGACCCCACCACAGCCCUCCCCUCCCACGAUCCCCUCACACCUCCCAAAGUCUACUCUUGGUCUUUUGUUCCAUAACGUACUACUCCAUGGGCUACACUGCAUUCUCUCUGCCUAGAUUCCUGAGAUUUGAACGCAUGCUCUAUCAAAGCAGUCAUAAAAUAAGUUAGACAAGUAUAGUUAAUAAAUUAUAACUGAGUGCUAACCCUGGUCCUGCAUGCUGCCCACUCGAUGCUCAUCUCCCCUGAGGCUGCAGUGGCACUGUGCUGUGACAUCGUGCUGUCCCGUCUGUACUGUGCUCCCGCCGGUGACACAAGCUGCAGUGUGACACUGACAGGAACUGGGGGCUGUGAAAGACUGUGUGUCAAAGCUUCACAAACUGGGCUUCCUGUCAACAUUUCUCGGCUGCGAGCGCGCAGAGGAAUGAAAUACAGCACAGCUAACCUGAAGGAAGCAAUGAUGCACAGCUGUUUUAUUGCCUGCUACAGGCUGUGCGUGUGAGCAACUGCAUCAACAGCCUUUUGCUUCCGGUUGUAUUUUGGAAAAGGUGAAAUAUUUCUCCUUUGCUACGUGGACGGAUUGGAAUCACCUGUCAAGACCUGAAGAAGUGACAUAGCUUGGAGCCGGGUUUCCCCAGGAAUGCAAUGCAGUGCUAUGUGCAGUUCUCAGUGCUCUCUCUUAAUAAACCAGUCGCAUGCUA
rnacentral:lncRNA from 1 species